ensembl:lncRNA
UUGAUCUGAAAGCUGCAUCCUUGCUCCAGUUCCUCUCCAUCUGCACUGCUGCCUCCCCCAGCACAGCCGCACCGCUUGGGGUGCAGAGGGAAAGGCUUUGGGGUUCCGCUGAGAGAACCCACCCCAAACACACCCCGAAGCAAGGUCUGCUCAGGCUGAGGGUGUCUGAUCCCCACCAAGAGCCUCCGGCAGCAUCUCCGGGCUGCUGCUGGAUUGCUGCAAACUGUGCGGAGGGAGCAGCAGGGGCUGAGAUGCGAGGGGAGGAAAGCAAGCUGAGUACAGGGAGGGAUGGUGGGGAGGGAAAGGCAGGGAUUCGGGGAGCUUUUCCCCAGCCCUAAGCCCUGUGCCUGCCUGCUCAGUGGGGAGAGGGAAGGGGGAAGGGAAAACUGGAGGGAGGCGAUCACAGAAACGCACUUUUCGGAGCAAAACGCAAAGCUUACCAUGUCUGCAGGCUUCCCCCAGCGAAAUGCCACUUAUGUGUCCAGCGAUCCCAAAGCGGGCAACUACAGGCAGGCACCGGAGCUCAUCUCAGCAGGCAGCUCAGCAACACACCACUGCCACCCCCAAAAAUCAAAAUCAAAAUAAAAAAGACCGGUCCAGCUUCUUUCUUGGCAAGAAUCGUCCCUGGUAGGACUGCCCAAAAUAAGCAGCUGCAAUCCAAAGGCUUUAUUUAAAGCUUCCCCCCUCCUCCUCCUCCUCUCCUUGCCUCGCUCUCUCUCUCCCUCUCUCUGUUACACACAGAGAGAAAGAGAGACACACACAGGUUACAUGAAUGGGAGGCAGGAGCCGGCGCUCCCGGGCUGGGAAUGACAGGCACACAUGCGGCCGGCUGCUGCGCACCGCGGGUGGCACGGUGCGGCGUGGGCACGACGGAUAGGAGAGAAUACUUCUUGAUCCACUAUAUAUGACAAAAUGGCCACAAACAACUGUAAUACAAUACAUCUUCUGUACAACAGGCUGUCUGAACUGGAGACACCUCCUCUCCCCUUUAAGAACAAUCUCUGAGACGGCAAAAUAAAAC